rnacentral:rRNA from 1 species
UUGUCUUUUAAAUAAAGACCAGUAUGAAUGGCAAGACGAAAGUUCAACUGUCUCCCUAAAUUAAUCAAUGAAAUUGAUCUUCCCGUGCAGAAGCGGGAAUAAAAUUAUAAGACGAGAAGACCCUAUGGAGCUUUAAAUAUAUGAUCAACUGUAUAACAUAUAAACCAAAAAGGUAAAAAAUUAAAUAAAACAUAGUGAUCAAAAUUUUAGGUUGGGGCGACCACGGAGAAAAACAAAACCUCCGAGAUGAAAAAUCUUAACUUAUGAACUACAGUUCUAAAAAAUAAAAUAUUUAACAUAAUUGAUCCAAUAUAUUGAUCAACGAACCAAGUUACCCUAGGGAUAACAGCGCAAUCCUUUCCAAGAGUUCCUAUCGACGAAUGGGUUUACGACCUCGAUGUUGGAUCAGGACACCCCGAUGGUGUAGCCGCUAUUAAAGGUUCGUUUGUUCAACGAUUAAAGU